rnacentral:rRNA from 1 species
AUGUAUAUAUCAAUCAGCUUAAGCACCCUACAAUCUACUAAGAGAAUGAAAAAUGUCAAAGGCAAGAAAGAUAAGAUGCAGCAGAAAGAAAACAAACUAGGGAAAUCAAAAUGGCUCAGACAUCCAAGGAAGGAAUUAGCAGCAUUAGCUCUCAAGCCUGGCAGGGCGAAAGCUCUUAGGCGGCAUCUGCGAAUGUUUUAA